UCGGGAAUUUUGGGCAAUGGGCGAAAGCCUGACCCAGCAACGCCGCGUGAAGGAUGAAGUAUUUCGGUAUGUAAACUUCGAAAGAAUAGGAAGAAUAAAUGACGGUACUAUUUAUAAGGUCCGGCUAACUACGUGCCAGCAGCCGCGGUAAUACGUAGGGACCAAGCGUUGUUCGGAUUUACUGGGCGUAAAGGGCGCGUAGGCGGCAAUUCAAGUCAUCUGUGAAAUCUCCGGGCUUAACUCGGAACGGUCAGAUGAUACUGCUUUGCUAGAGUGCAGAAGGGGCAAUCGGAAUUCUUGGUGUAGAGGUGAAAUUCGUAGAUAUUAGGAAGAACACCGGUGGCGAAGGCGGCCCACUGGAUCGGUACUGACGCUGAGGCGCGAAAGCGUGGGGAGCAAACAGGAUUAGAUACCCCCGUAGUCCCUGAGCGGGCUGGCAAGGCGCAU
rnacentral:rRNA from 1 species